rnacentral:rRNA from 1 species
GACGAACGCUGGCGGCGUGGAUUAGGCAUGCAAGUCGAACGGUAGGAUACCUUCGGGUAUCUGAGAGUGGCGAACGGGUGAGUAACACGUAGGUGAUCUACCCUCAAGAUUGGGACAACCCAGGGAAACUUGGGCUAAUACCGGAUGAAAGCAGCAGUGAUGUUGUUUGAAAGGUGGCGUAAGCUGCCGUUUGGGGAUGAGCCUGCGCUCUAUUAGUUAGUUGGCGGGGUAAAGGCCCACCAAGGCGAUGAUAGAUAGGCGGCCUUAACGGGUGGUCGCCCACACUGGGAUUGAGAUACGGCCCAGACUCCUACGGGAGGCAGCAGUCGAGAAUAGUCUACAAUGGCCGAAAGGCUGAUAGUGCGACGCCGCGUGAACGAAGAAGCCCUUCGGGGUUAAAGGUUCUUUUAUAUGUGAGCAGUGCUUUCUAUGUGAACAGCAUGGGGAAGAGAUAUUAGCAUAUGAAUAAGCAACGGCUAACUCCGUGCCAGC